rnacentral:lncRNA from 1 species
AGAGAGGAAAUGUUUUCUAAUUGAGUUAGCUAAGACGAAGAAGAAGAUUGUUCUUCUUCAAAAUUUCAUUUUUUAUUUUUAUUUUUAUUUUUAUUUGAGUGAAAGAGAGGAAAAUAUAUUUUUACCAGCCACCACCUCUUGUCUUUUUAUUGGGCUUUCCCUACUAGUCCUAAGUGGUCUCUUAUUUAUACCUUCCAAAUAGGGUUUUCUUAUUUAAUUAAUCUUAACUUUGCCCUUGGGCCUUGGUAUGCGGGCAUUCAUUUGAAAAAGAAAUUGAC